UACUGUGAUGUUGGCCCGGUUCACUCAGAGAAGAAGACUACUUACUGCAUUUGCAUGUACGUAGAUACGUACGUUGUUCUAUGGUCACCUGAAUCUGAUUGAGCCGCGCCAAUAUCUCAGUG